rnacentral:rRNA from 1 species
GGGUGGUAAUGCCGGAUGCUCCAGUUGACCGCAUGGUCCUCUGGGAAAGCUUUUGCGGUAUGGGAUGGGGUCGCGUCCUAUCAGCUUGAUGGCGGGGUAACGGCCCACCAUGGCUUCGACGGGUAGCCGGCCUGAGAGGGCGACCGGCCACAUUGGGACUGAGAUACGGCCCAGACUCCUACGGGAGGCAGCAGUGGGGAAUAUUGCACAAUGGGCGCAAGCCUGAUGCAGCGACGCCGCGUGCGGGAUGACGGCCUUCGGGUUGUAAACCGCUUUUGACUGGGAGCAAGCCCUUCGGGGUGAGUGUACCUUUCGAAUAAGCACCGGCUAACUACGUGCCAGCAGCCGCGGUAAUACGUAGGGUGCAAGCGUUAUCCGGAAUUAUUGGGCGUAAAGGGCUCGUAGGCGGUUCGUCGCGUCCGGUGUGAAAGUCCAUCGCUUAACGGUGGAUCCGCGCCGGGUACGGGCGGGCUUGAGUGCGGUAGGGGAGACUGGAAUUCCCGGUGUAACGGUGGAAUGUGUAGAUAUCG